rnacentral:lncRNA from 1 species
AAUCUCAGCACUUUGGGAAGCCGAGGUCUACAACAUCCAGAGCAGCCACAUUGCAAGUGCUCAGUAGCCACAUGUGGCUGGCACAUGUGGCCCAUGGCAACUGUGCUGGACAUGGUGGGUCCAGACCUCACUUCAUUUUAUGUAUAAACACCAAGUAUCUUGUGAGCUUUACUGUACGUGAAUUUCUCAGGAAUGCUGUAACUGUGCACAUUGAGGUUUGAGGUUUGAUUGCCCUUUUGUUGUUUUUUUCUGAACGUUACUAAGGGUUGUUCAUAAUUUUGGAAGGUAGUAUUAUCCAAUAGCCCCCGCCCCCUCCGCGUCCGCAGUGUGAGUCCCCUGCACAACAUGCACUGAAGCCUCUGCAUUUGUAGCUCUCACAUUCAUGGUGAUUCUACCCGAGGCCAUGCACUGAAUAUGUCAGUAUCACGGCUUGAUAUCUUCCAGUUUAGCUGUGCCUGAGUGUCUAUGUACUGAAAUCUGUAUUAUUUUAUAAUACAUUUCUUUGUUUUUUGAGAUGGGGUGUCACUCUGUCGCCCUGGCUGGAGUGCACUGGCGUGAUCUAGGCUCACUUCAACCUCCGCCC